UAAUAAACUAUAUUUCAUUUCCUGAAGGGUCAGCAAAAGACCAACUGUGGGGCAGAAAACAGAGCAGGAGAGAGAGUGUGAGCUCCCCAGCUUCCCUCCCGUUCUCCAACUGCAGAACCGGAACCGGGGGCUUUGGAACAGGGCAAAGGGACCCCUGCGUGUGUGAUCCCUGCUGCGCUUUGGGGAGCCCCGUGCGGCUGAGCAAAUGGCGUGAGGCUGGAAAUGAGGGUAUUGGGGUGGAGACAUGCAGAUGGGACUGGGUUUCUGUAAGGAAAUCACCAUUGCAGUGCUCAGCGCUGUUGUGUUGGACAUUAGACUUGGGGCGAGAACCGUGGGUGUCUUGCUUCUUCUCCAUCUUUCUUUGGCUGGAGACAAUCAUUGGCCGCCACCUAGCUGCAGAAACUGGCAGCAAGUGGGGGCCGUGGGAAUAAAGGCUUUCACCACCUCAUCGGCCACCCGCUCCUGGAGCUGAUUCUCUGUUCUGGUUACCUAUCGGUUUAUGGCAAAACCUGAAUGACAGAGAGAGAUGUGGGUGGCAGGGUCCGGGCAUCCAGCCCAGUCAUCCUCUCCCUGGUCCCAGGCUCUGCACUCACACUGCUUUCUCUCACCCUUUAACAAGUAGACUUUUAAUUUUAGAAGGGUUUUAGAUUCACAGGAACAUUGCAGAGAGAGUACAGAGAUGCCCAUUUAUUCUAUGACCUGCUGCCAAUCCCCCCUCUUGUUAAUAUCUUAUGUUAGUGUGAUGCAUUUGUUACAAUGAUUGAGCCAAGCUCGAGACAUUGCUGUUAACUGGAGUCUGUGCUUUGUUCAGAUGUCCUUAGUUCGUUCUUUGUGUCCUUUGUUCUGUUACAGGAUUCAGGACACUGAUACACCAUGCCUCCUCUUGACCCCAACGGUUUCCGGACUCUUGUUUUGAAUGACCUUGAUGAUCUGAAUGACCUUGAUGGUUUUGAGGAGUGCUGGUCAGGUGUCAGGGGUGGGGUUCAUGUUCACCGGAAGGUGUGGAAAAGCAGUGUCGCAAUUGGAAGAGUUGUGUUGUUUUCAGGAGCUCGCCACCUGGAGGUGGAAGGUGAACCUUGCAGCGAGGCUGGAAAUGGACUGAAGGACCCCAAAGACAGAGCAGGAGGUCCUUCCGUGAGCACCCGGAGGAGACGCGUUUACAGGCAUCAGGGGGACUGCAGAGGGCUCCCAGAAUGAUGGAACAAGA
rnacentral:lncRNA from 1 species